rnacentral:rRNA from 1 species
CCUACGGGUGGCAGCAGGGAGGAAUAUUGGGCAAUGGACGAGAGUCGGAACCAGCCAAGGAGCGUGAAGGAUGACGGCCCGAUGGGUGGUAAACUGCUUUUAUAGGGGAAUAAAAUGUGCCACGUGUGGGAUUUUGUAUGUACCAUAUGAAUAAGGAUCGGCUAACUCCGUGCCAGCAGCCGCGGUAAUACGGAGGAUCCGAGCGUUAUCCGGAUUUAUUGGGUUUAAAGGGAGCGUAGGUGGAUUGUUAAGUCAGUUGUGAAAGUUUGCGGCUCAACCGUAAAAUUGCAGUUGAAACUGGCAGUCUUGAGUACAGUUGAGGUAGGCGGAAUUCGUGGUGUAGCGGUGAUAUGCUUAGAUAUCACGCAGAACUCCGAUUGCGAAGGCAGUUCACUGGACUGCAACUGACACUGAGGCUCGAAAGUGUGGGUAUCAAACAGGAUUAGAUACCCUUGUAGUC